rnacentral:rRNA from 1 species
GACGAACGCUGGCGGCGUGCUUAACACAUGCAAGUCGAACGGGAUUUAGUAAACAGAAGCCUCGGUGGAAGAUUACUAAUGAGAGUGGCGAACGGGUGAGUAACGCGUGAGCAACCUGCCUAUGACAGUGGGAUAGCCUCGGGAAACCGGGAUUAAUACCGCAUAAAAUCGUAGAAACACAUGUUUUAACGGUCAAAGAUUUAUCGGUCAUAGAUGGGCUCGCGUCUGAUUAGCUAGUUGGUGAGAUAACAGCCCACCAAGGCGACGAUCAGUAGCCGGUCUGAGAGGAUGAACGGCCACAUUGGAACUGAGACACGGUCCAAACUCCUACGGGAGGCAGCAGUGGGGAAUAUUGCACAAUGGGGGAAACCCUGAUGCAGCGACGCCGCGUGAACGAAGAAGGUAUUCGUAUCGUAAAGUUCUGUCAUAUGGGAAGAUAAUGACAGUACCAUAGAAGAAAGCUCCGGCUAAAUACGUG